rnacentral:tRNA from 1 species
GGGAAGGUAGCUCAAUAGUAGAGUGCUUGCCUUGCAUGCAUGAGGCCCUGGGUUCGAUUCCUCAGCACCA